rnacentral:rRNA from 1 species
GUGUCAGCCGCCGCGGUAAUACGAAGGGGGCUAGCGUUGCUCGGAAUCACUGGGCGUAAAGGGUGCGUAGGCGGGUCUUUAAGUCAGGGGUGAAAUCCUGGAGCUCAACUCCGGAACUGCCCUUGAUACUGAGGAUCUUGAGUUCGGGAGAGGUGAGUGGAACUGCGAGUGUAGAGGUGAAAUUCGUAGAUAUUCGCAAGAACACCAGUGGCGAAGGCGGCUCACUGGCCCGAUACUGACGCUGAGGCACGAAAGCGUGGGGAGCAAACAGGAUUAGAUACCCGGGUAGUCC